AGUGAACGCUGGCGGUAGGCCUAACACAUGCAAGUCGAACGGCAGCACAGUAAGAGCUUGCUCUUACGGGUGGCGAGUGGCGGACGGGUGAGGAAUACAUCGGAGUCUACUUUUUGGUGGGGGAUAACGUAGGGAAACUUACGCCAAUACCGCAUACGAUCUACGGGGGAAAGCAGUGGAUCUUCGGACCUUGCGCGAUUGAAUGAGCCGAUGUCGGAUUAGUUAGUUGGCGGGGUAAAGGCCCACCAAGGCGACGAUCCGUAGCUGGUCUGAGAGGAGGAUCAGCCGCACUGGAACUGAGACACGGUCCAGACUCCUACGGGAGGCAGCAGUGGGGAAUAUUGGACAAUGGGCGCAAGCCUGAUCCAGCCAUACCGCGUGGGUGAAGAAGGCCUUCGGGUUGUAAAGCCCUUUUGUUGGGAAAGAAAAGCAGCAGGUUAAUACCCCGCUGUUCUGACGGUACCCAAAGAAUAAGCACCGGCUAACUUCGUG
rnacentral:rRNA from 1 species